CGUUCAGGGGUAAACCUAAGAAACCCAAAAGAUCGAACGGGGAGAUUCAUCGUCAGCGGCGUUGGCUUCGCGUCGGUGGGCGAUGUCCUGCGGUUUCUCGCGCGGGCACGCUACCGUGCGCGCAUGACCGGCGUCGUCGUCGUGCACUUCUCCCCUAGUAGAACGUCGCGACCCGCUGGGUGUCGGUCUACGGCCCGGGUGAGGUGACUGUCGCGUCGCCGGUAAAACGGCACGCGGCAAACCCUCGGACGCCCGGCCGGCUGCCCGGCGGUACUCGCACGGUAUCAGGCCGCAGUUUAUCUGCGUCAAGCCCGUCGCAAGCGCGCGCCACGGUUACUCGGAGGUACGGACCUAGCGCCGUCCCCGGUCCUGGUCCGCUGUUGGCCGACGGUGACCCUUUGACAGGCCUUACGGGGCGACGUGGGGGGUGUCAGCCAUUCCACGUCCGCCCUAAUACCGGUCGGCGACGCUACUGCUUUGGGUACUCUUAGGACCCGUCUUGAAACACGGACCAAGGAGUCUAACAUGUGCGCGAGUCAUUGGGACUAGCAAAACCCAAAGGCGCAAUGAAAGUGAAGGUCGGCCUUGGCGCCGACCGAGGGAGGAUGGGCAGCGUCGCGAUGCGGCCUCGCACUCCCGGGGCGUCUCGUUCUCAUCGCGAGAAGAGGCGCACCAAGAGCGUACACGUUGGGACCCGAAAGAUGGUGAACUAUGCCUGGUCAGGACGAAGUCAGGGGAAACCCUGAUGGAGGUCCGUAGCGAUUCUGACGUGCAAAUCGAUCGUCGGAACUGGGUAUAGGGGCGAAAGACUAAUCGAACCAUC
rnacentral:rRNA from 1 species